rnacentral:misc_RNA from 1 species
GAUGAAGAACGUAGUGAAAUGCGAUACUUGGUGUGAAUUGCAGAAUCCCACGAAUCAUCGAGUUUUUGAACGCAAGUUGCGCCCGAAGCCAUUCGGCCGAGGGCACGUCUGCCUGGGUGUCACGCAUCGUUGCCCCCCCAAACUCCGGUUCGGGCGGGGCGGAAGUUGGCCUCCCGUGCGUGCCUGCGCGCGCGGUUAGCCCAAAAGCGAGUCCUCGGCGACGAGCGCCACGACAAUCGGUGGUUUUUUUACCCUCGUUCCUCGUCGUGCGUGCCCCGUCGCCCGAACGCGCUCUUGCGACCCUCACGCGUCGCCUCGGCGGCGCUCCCAACGCGACCCCAGGUCAGGCGGGACUACCCGCUGAGUUUAAGCAUAUCAAUAAGCGGAGGA